CAAUCCAGUUUGGCAGCUUGCAAAGUAGGGUGGCUGAAGGGAUGUAGGCCAAUCAUAUGUAUUGAUGGCACAUUCAUAAAGACAAAGUAUGGUGGCCAAUUACUCAGAGCAGUAGGUAUAGAUGGAAAUGAUUCAAUAUAUCCAAUUGCAAUGGCAGUGGUGGAGACAGAAUGCUAUGGAUCUUGGGCAUGGUUCCUUGCUACACUGAAGCAUGAUCUUAACAUAAUGAACACUAGCACAUUCAGUAUUAUGAGUGAUAAACAGAAGGGGCUCAUAAAAGCUGUGAAUGAACAGUUCCCUGACUCAGAGCAUAGGUUUUGUGUGAGACACUUGUACCAAAACUUGCACUCAGCACACAAAGGUGAGACAAUCAGACAACAACUAUGGACUUGUGCCAAAUCAACCACUCCAACCUUGUUUGAAAUUAAUAUGGAGAAGAUGAAGGAAGAUAAUCCAGAAGCUUAUGCUUGGUUGGAAGAUAAGCCUCCAAAUCAAUGGUCAAGGGCCUUUUUUGAUGUUUUUCCCAAGUGUGACAUUUUGUUG
rnacentral:rRNA from 1 species